rnacentral:rRNA from 1 species
GACGAACGCUGGCGGCGUGCUUAACACAUGCAAGUCGAACGGAAAGGCCCUGCUUUUGUGGGGGGCUCGAGUGGCGAACGGAUGAGUAACACGUGAGUAACCUGCCCUUGACUUUGGGAUAACUUCAGGAAACUGGGGCUAAUACCGGAUAGGAGCUCCUGCUGCAUGGUGGGGGUUGGAAAGUUUCGGCGGUGGGGGAUGGACUCGCGGCUUAUCAGCUUGUUGGUGGGGUAGUGGCUUACCAAGGCUUUGACGGGUAGCCGGCCUGAGAGGGUGGCCGGCCACAUUGGGGGUGAGAAACGGCCCAGACUCCUACGGGAGGCAGCAGUGGGGAAUAAUGCACAAUGGGCGGAAGACUGAUGCAGGAACGCCGCGUGCGGGAUGAAGGCCUUCGGGUUGUAAACCGCUUUCGCCUGUGACGAAGCGUGAGUGACGGUAAUGGGUAAAGAAGCACCGGCUAACUACGUG